rnacentral:tRNA from 1 species
GUUCCGAUAGGGUAGUGGACUAUCCUCCGGGCUUGCGGAGCCCGGGACCGGGGUUCAAAUCCCCGUCGGAACG